rnacentral:lncRNA from 1 species
AAUAAACUGCUUUAUUUUGCGCUUUAUUUAAGUCUGACGGGAGCUGUAAUGGCAUUUGUGCUGGUCCUUAUUUCAGGCAUAGCUGAAGAGGCAAACCUCCCAGCUGGACCUGUAUAUCCCUUUCCACAACAGAUUCAUGCUGUAAUGCUCUGAGACUAGUUCCUUCCUCUUUUUACCUCCUCAUCUGCAGCUUUUGUACUUCCUUGUCCCUUAAAUAAUUAACAAGAAGAGGUUUGUCCUUUUAAAGGUUCCUGUCACGGAUACUUGCCUAUAAGAAGGUCUUAGAAAUGGACCUUUCUUAAAACACACUGAUAUCACUUGGAUUCAUCAUAUUUUUGGGGCAGUUUUAACAUGGCAACUGCAGAAGUCACAGACACUUGAGUAAAUGGUAUUCCUCACAGGCACAGGCUCAGAAGUCUCCACUCCUGGGAAAAGACAAGGCUACCAAAGAGGCAAAAGAAAGCAACAAGUUAUUCCAGAUGAGCAGCCUGCGCAACCCUUUGGCCAAUGUUUGACGCAUCAAAGAUCUGUCGUAGUUCAACCUUUUCAUACACCCUUAGUCAGAACAGAGGAAAGUCAGUUGAUAGUUUAAAAAAGAGCCAGUUGUAUUGGAAGAGGAUGCAGGAACCAUUCAGAGCUAGAAAGGUUGAAUUGCAGUGGGGAUGAGGGAGGACAACUCAAAGUUUUCUAAAUAAGGAGAUUAAGAGAUGCCUCAGUUACUGACUACUAGAACCAGCAUGGAAAAAUAAUUUGGAAUAAUAUUGUUGAGUCCACUAGAUAAAAAUACGGAUGGAUGUUCAGCUCAAGCUAAACAAAUUCAACCUAAAAAGAGAGCACAUUUUUUUUAACCAUGAGUAUGAAGUUAAACUUCAAAAGACAUUUACAGGAGAAGCAAUAAGUCACAUACUCUGGAUGUCUUUCUGGGAGAUCAAGUUUUAAUCAAGCCCAAAUUAUUGGCCUAGGUACAGGUAAAAUAUAAUGGACUGUGGUAUGUGUCCCUGCAGGUCUGCCUCACACCUGAUUCAUGAAUAAAGGCAUUUUAUAAGUCUGUGAUUAUGUGAUG